rnacentral:lncRNA from 1 species
AAUUGAUCCCACAGUACCAAUGAGUGCUACUGGAGGUUCUCCAUCUAAUCCCAGGGAAUACCCAUCAAGGAAGUCCUGAUAUACUCAACAAAGAGAGUAGACCAGAUAUCCAGUAAGAAGUUUGUUAUAAUGAUUUUG